rnacentral:rRNA from 1 species
AUUGAACGCUGGCGGCAGGCCUAACACAUGCAAGUCGAACGAGUGGCGGACGGGUGAGUAAUGUCUGGGAAACUGCCUGAUGGAGGGGGAUAACUAAUGGAAACGGUAGCUAAUCCCGCAUACCAUAAGAUGAGCCCAGAUGGGAUUAGCUUGUUGGUGGGGUACCGGCGUACCAAGGCGACGCUCCCUAGCUGGUCUGAGAGGAUGACAAUCCACACUGGAACUUAGACACGGUCCAGACUCCUACGGGAGUCAGCAGUGGGGAAUAGUUCACAAUGGGCGCAAGCCUGAGGCAGCCAUGCCGCGUGUAUGAAGAAGGCCUUCGGGUUGUAAAGUACUUUUAGCGGGGAGGCGUUACCCGCAGAAGAAGCACCGGCUAACUCCGUGCCAGCGGCCGCGGUAAUAC